CCUACGGGAGGCAGCAGUGAGGAAUAUUGGUCAAUGGACGAGAGUCUGAACCAGCCAAGUAGCGUGAAGGAUGACCGCCCUAUGGGUUGUAAACUUCUUUUAUAUGGGAAUAAAACAGGGUAUGCAUACCCUCUUGUAUGUACCAUAUGAAUAAGGAUCGGCUAACUCCGUGCCAGCAGCCGCGGUAAUACGGAGGAUCCGAGCGUUAUCCGGAUUUAUUGGGUUUAAAGGGAGCGUAGGUGGAUUGUUAAGUCAGUUGUGAAAGUUUGCGGCUCAACCGUAAAAUUGCAGUUGAAACUGGCAGGCUUGAGUACAGUAGAGGUGGGCGGAAUUCGUGGUGUAGCGGUGAAAUGCUUAGAUAUCACGAAGAACUCCGAUUGCGAAGGCAGCUCACUGGACUGCAACUGACACUGAUGCUCGAAAGUGUGGGUAUCAAACAGGAUUAGAUACCCUUGUAGUC
rnacentral:rRNA from 1 species